rnacentral:rRNA from 1 species
UGAAUACGAGACGCUAAGGCGUCGAAGUAGUGUAUGUCAUACUUCCAAGAAAAGCUUGCACUGUCAUAGAUAAAAAACGCCUGUACCAUAACCGACACAGGUGGGUAGGUAGAGUAUACUAAGGGGCGCGAGAUAACUCUCUCUAAGGAACUCGGCAAAAUAACUCCGUAACUUCGGGAGAAGGAGUGCCUUAUUCGUAAGGUUGCAAUAACAAGAUCCAAGCAACUGUUUAUCAAAAACACAGGUCUCCGCUAAGUCGUAAGACGAUGUAUGGGGGCUGACGCCUGCCCAGUGCCAGAAGGUUAAAGAAGUUGGUUAGCAAUUGCGAAGCUGAUAACUGAAGCCCUGGUGAACGGCGGCCGUAACUAUAACGGUCCUAAGGUAGCGAAAUUCCUUGUCGGGUAAGUUCCGACCCGCACGAAAGGCGUAAUGAUUUGGAUACUGUCUCGGAGAGGGGCUCGGUGAAAUAGACUUGUCUGUGAAGAUGCGGACUACCUGCACCAGGACAGAAAGACCCUAUGAAGCUUUACUGUAACUUGAAAUUGAAAUUGGACUUUAUUCGCGCAGUAUAGGUGGGAGGCGUUGAUUAUAAUCUUGUGGGAUUAUUGGAGCCAUCAGUGAGAUACCACUCUUGUAAUGUUAGAUUUCUAACUUUGAAUCAUUAUCUGGUCAAAGAACAGUUUCAGGCGGGCAGUUUGACUGGGGCGGUCGCCUCCUAAACGGUAACGGAGGCGUACAAAGGUUUCCUCUGAACGGUUAGAAAUCGUAUCUAGAGUGUAAAGGCAUAAGGAAGCUUGACUGUGAGACCUACAAGUCGAGCAGGGACGAAAGUCGGUCUUAGUGAUCUGACGGUACUGAGUGGAAAGGCCGUCACUCAACGGAUAAAAGUUACUCUAAGGAUAACAGGCUGAUCUCCCCCAAGAGUUCACAUCGACGGGGAGGUUUGGCACCUUGAUGUCGGCUCAUCGCAUCCUGGGGCGGUAGUACGUCCCAAGGGUUGGGCUGUUCGCCCAUGAAAGCGGUACGCGAGCUGGGUUCAGAACGUCGUGAGACAGUUCGGUCCAUAUCCGGUGUAGGCGUUAGAAUAUUGAGAGGAGCCUUCUUUAGUACGAGAGGACCGAGAAGGACAUACCUCUGGUGUACCAGUUAUCGUGCCAACGGUAAACGCUGGGUAGCUAUGUAUGGAGUGGAUAACCGCUGAAAGCAUCUAAGUGGGAAGCCCACCUCAAGAUAAG